AACAAUAUUGUCAGUAGCUCAGUAAGAUGAUACUAAAAAUGAAAGCUCAAAAGUUCAAUAAAAAGUUUUAAAGCUCCAUUAAAGGGUUUAAAUAGGUCUUCCAACUAAAUAUGAGAUUCAUCUGCUUUACUGGUAAAUCAAUAAUUCACUUUCUCCUGCUGUUAUCUCCUACGGUUCAAUUUCUCGAACAUUAUCGGACUAGUAAAAAACAGAAAUCUCUAUCAAAGCUUUAAGCCGACCGCGAAUCCCUGACUUUGACAAGCAAUCUUAUGCCAAACGCUUCCUCAUGUAUUCUUUCUCCCUUCCUCAUCGUCUGCAUCUCCAACAUCCAAGCUGUCUGUUUUCAUAAGACUGGACAUUUCUAACAGGAAUAAGAAUUGAAAUAAAAUUAUUACAAAAGCACUGUAGGAGAAAAUAAAUCAUUUUCUUGACAAUUUUUAAAUUGA